GCCGGUGUAGCUCAGCGGCAGAGCAGGGGACUCAUAAGCCCUUGGUCGCAGGUUCGAUUCCCGCCACCGGCACCA
rnacentral:tRNA from 1 species